UACGUAGGGUGCGAGCGUUGUCCGGAAUUAUUGGGCGUAAAGAGCUCGUAGGCGGUUUGUCGCGUCUAUCGUGAAAACUGGAGGCUUAACUUUCAGCGUGCGGUGGAUACGGGCAGACUUGAGUUCGGUAGGGGAGACUGGAAUUCCUGGUGUAGCGGUGAAAUGCGCAGAUAUCAGGAGGAACACCGGUGGCGAAGGCGGGCCUCUGGGCCGAUACUGACGCUGAGGAGCGAAAGCGUGGGGAGCGAACAGG
rnacentral:rRNA from 1 species